rnacentral:rRNA from 1 species
GCAGUCGAACGGAGUAAUCCACUGAAGCUUUUGUGCUUGCAUAAAAGUGGAUGUGAUAAUUACUUAGUGGCGAACGGGUGAGUAACACGUGGGUAAUCUACCUAUAAGAUUGGAAUAACACAGGGAAACUUGUGCUAAUACCGAAUAUGAAAUAAAAAUGAUUUUUUUAUUUUGAAAGGUGCCUUUAAAGCACCGCUAAUAGAUGAGCCUGCGGCGUAUUAGUUAGUUGGUAGGGUAAUGGCCUACCAAGACUUCGAUGCGUAGCCGAACUGAGAGGUUGAUCGGCCACACUGGGACUGAGACACGGCCCAGACUCCUACGGGAGACAGCAGUUAGGAAUAUUCGUCAAUGGGGGAAACCCUGAACGAGCGAUGUCGCGUGAGUGAAGAAGGUCCUUUGGAUCGUAAAGCUCUGUUGUAUGGGAAGAACAGCCAAAUUAGGAAAUGAAUUUGGUCUGACGGUACCAUGCCAGAAAGCUCCGGCAAACUAUGUGCCAGCAGCCGCGGUAAUACAUAGGGAGCGAGCGUUAUCCGGAUUUAUUGGGCGUAAAGCGUGUGUAGGCGGUUUAUUAAGUAUGAAAUCAAAGCCUGGGGCUCAACUCCAGUUCGUUUCAUAAACUGAUAGACUUGAGUAUGGUAGAGGCAAAUGGAAUUUCUAGUGUAGCGGUAAAAUGUGUAGAUAUUAGAAGGAACAUCAGUGGCGAAGGCGAUUUGCUGGGCCAUUACUGACGCUGAGACACGAAAGCGUGGGGAGCAAAUAGGAUUAGAUACCCUAGUAGUCCACGCCGUAAACGAUGAGUACUAAGUGUCGGAUUUUUCCGGUGCUGAAGUUAACACAUUAAGUACUCCGCCUGAGUAGUACAGUCGCAAGACCGAAACUCAAAGGAAUUGACGGGCACCCGCACAAGCGGUGGAGCAUGCUG